rnacentral:rRNA from 1 species
ACACUCCUGCGGGAGGCAGCAGUGGGGAAUUUUGGACAAUGGGCGAAAGCCUGAUACAGCAAUGCCGCGUGAGUGAAGAAGGCCUUCGGGUUGUAAAGCUCUUUUGUCAGGGAAGAAACGGUGAAAGCUAAUAUCUUUUGCUAAUGACGGUACCUGAAGAAUAAGCACCGGCUAACUACGUGCAAGCAGCCGCGGUAAUACGUAGGGUGCAAGCGUUAAUCGGAAUUACUGGGCGUAAAGCGUGCGCAGGCGGUUUUGUAAGUCUGAUGUGAAAUCCCCGGGCUCAACCUGGGAAUUGCAUUGGAGACUGCAAGGCUAGAAUCUGGCAGAGGGGGGUAGAAUUCCACGUGUAGCAGUGAAAUGCGUAGAUAUGUGGAGGAACACCGAUGGCGAAGGCAGCCCCCUGGGUCAAGAUUGACGCUCAUGCACGAAAGCGUGGGGAGCAAACAGGAUUAGAUACCCCUGUAGUCCCAUGAU